rnacentral:rRNA from 1 species
AACGAACGCUGGCGGCAGGCUUAACACAUGCAAGUCGAACGCAUCCUUCGGGGUGAGUGGCAGACGGGUGAGUAACGCGUGGGAACGUGCCCUUCAGUUCGGAAUAACCCAGGGAAACUUGGGCUAAUACCGGAUACGUGCGAGAGCAGAAAGAUUUAUCGCUGAAGGAUCGGCCCGCGUCUCAUUAGCUAGUUGGUGAGGUAAUGGCUCACCAAGGCGACGAUCAGUAGCUGGUCUGAGAGGAUGAUCAGCCACAUUGGGACUGGGACACGGCCCAAACUCCUACGGGAGGCAGUAGUGGGGAAUCUUGGACAAUGGGCGCAAGCCUGAUCCAGCCAUGCCGCGUGAGUGAUGAAGGCCUUAGGGUUGUAAAGCUCUUUCAGUGGGGACGAUAAUGACGGUACCCGCAGAAGAAGCCCCGGCUAACUGCGUGCCAGCCGCCGCCGUAA